rnacentral:rRNA from 2 species
UUUAUUGGAGAGUUUGAUCCUGGCUCAGGACGAACGCUGGCGGCGUGCCUAAUACAUGCAAGUCGAG